UACGAACGCUGGCGGCGUGCCUAAUACAUGCAAGUUGAGCGCUGAAGGUUGGUACUUGUACCAACUGGAUGAGCAGCGAACGGGUGAGUAACGCGUGGGGAAUCUGCCUUUGAGCGGGGGACAACAUUUGGAAACGAAUGCUAAUACCGCAUAAAAACUUUAAACACAAGUUUUAAGUUUGAAAGAUGCAAUUGCAUCACUCAAAGAUGAUCCCGCGUUGUAUUAGCUAGUUGGUGAGGUAAAGGCUCACCAAGGCGAUGAUACAUAGCCGACCUGAGAGGGUGAUCGGCCACAUUGGGACUGAGACACGGCCCAAACUCCUACGGGAGGCAGCAGUAGGGAAUCUUCGGCAAGGGACGAAAGUCUGACCGAGCAACGCCGCGGGAGUGAAGAAGGGUGUCGGAUCGUAAAACUCUGUUGGUAGAGAAGAACGUUGGUGAGAGUGGAAAGCUCAUCAAGUGACGGUAACUACCCAGAAAGGGACGGCUAACUACGUG
rnacentral:rRNA from 1 species